rnacentral:tRNA from 1 species
UCCCUGGUGGCUCAGACGGUAAAGCGUCUGCCUGCAGUGCGAGAGACCCAGGUUCAAUCCCUGGGUUGGGAA